GUGCUGUCUCUGUAGCUCCUCAUUCAUGGAAGCCAACAGAUAGCACUUGGCUUGUGUAUCAUCCUCCACGUGCUUGUCAUACUUAGCACGUUCAUCCUCAGUAGCGUUGGGGCCAAGAGGUAUGUGAGGUGGAGCCUUGUCUAGCACGUAAACAAUCUUCUCCAAGGUUAGGAGAAUCUUGACAUUACGAUACCACGAUGGGAAAUUGUGCCCCUCUAGGCAAUGUUUGUCGAGUAUUUUCACGAGUGUGCUUCCAACCAUAUCUAUAUACAUAAACAAUAAAAUAAUUAGUUUGAUUGUUGAUUAAGUCAAACGAUUCGGGUCUUUAAACCGAAUGACACCACCCACCAUUUUUGGCAAAUUCCAUAUCCCUCAAGAUGGAAUCCGGGAGAUUUCAAAGAAAGCUCCUAGCGGGUUAUGGGAGGCUCACUAUUACCAAGCCCACCUCACGAUGAUACGAUGUUGGCUAGCAAAAAUAAUAAUGAGAGGGUACACUUACCCAUUCACAACAACUCUUGUGAUUACCCAUCUAUUUGGCCUCUAGAAAACAAUGUCUCACGAUGAUACGAUGUUGGCAUCAUUUCUCUUAGUUAAGUUCUUUCCCACCAUGUCGGUUUAGAUAGGGGUUCAAGCAUGACCUCACGAUGAUACGAUGUUGGCCACACUCGUUGCCUACCUUAACCUCAUCAAAUGUUUUAAAUAAACUCCUCCUGAGUAUAAGCAUGCACUUUGCACUCCCCCAUGAUAGGGUGAAGGCGGUGUACAAGUCAUAAACGAUUGGAGCCUACCACGGUGGAAGGCCACGAAAAAGUGUUCAAAGCACUCUUACGCUUUCAACUUAAUAUUGUAUGUUGGUUAAGGGAUUUUAAGGUCUCAUCAAUUUAUUUAUUUAAUCACAAUCAAAUAAAUUGUCCUAUUAUAACUACUAGUCCAAAGUUAAUGAAAUUAGUAGCAUAUGAUAUCCCCACUAUUUGUUUUCAUAAAACAAAUCAAUAUCAAAACAUUUUUCAAAAUAUUGGAGAUAUAUAUAACUACUAAUUAUAUUCAUUAUAGUUUUAGUAGCGUAUGAUACUCCCACUAUUUGUUUUAAGAAAAACAAAUCAAUAUCAAAAACGAAUUUUUCAAAUAUUGGAAGUAACUACUACUACUACGGUUUUUUGCAUUCCUUUGAAAUUGGACUUUAUAGUUAUCUUAGGCUCUUGGAUGACCAUGGACUUAUUAGGUUAUUGCAACAACGAGCCAACAUUGUUGAAUAUAAACUCGGGGAAGUUGUGUCAAUUUAAUUACGUGCUUUUCAAUCCAAUUAAAACAUUUUCAUUGAGCCAUUAGAAAUGAAAGACAAUCAUUCAUUGCUAAUUAGGGCUUUGGACCCAUUUAAUCUUUGAUCUCAUGUCAAAACCCUCUUUUAGUUAUGUCUCCUUACCAAUAGUUAAAGAAACUCUAGUCUAGCACUAGAGGGAAUCAACUAACUAAAAGAGAUUAAGAAGUAAUAAGAAUUACAAACCGAUUUGUACAAAUUCCUACAAAUUACACAUACUAAGAGGGAGACAUAGAUUAAUGUCAAACGUGACAAGGUCCAAUUAAAACAGUAAUUAAAACACAUUCCCAAGGUUCAAACAAUUUGAUUUUAGCGCCUUAUCUCAUAGCUCAAUUAUCGUUUAAGGCAUAAGUUCAUAGUCACCCAUUUUCUAACUACUUAAUCACAUUAAAUAAUCAAAUGGAGUGCAACAUAAACAUUUAGAUUUAGUGCAUAUGGGCAUAAUAAUAUUAUGAGUUUAAACAACCAAUAAAAUUAAAAUAAAAUAUUUUAACUUUUUAGAUGGAUGGGGCCUAUUAUGCAAAUAUGAAAAGUUAGGGGUAAAACCGUAAAUACUUGAAAGUAAAUAUCAACUUUUCAAAGAUUAUAAAAUAGCCCCACAAGUGGAUAAAUCCACUAGGGGAGGCCGGCCACAUUAAGGGGAGAUGGGAAGUCUCUUACACAUUCUUACACAACAUGCAAUAAUUCCACAUUAUGUAGAAAAAAUUAAAUUUUGCUUGUCACUUGGUUUUGCUUUGAAGACUUUAGUGAAAAGGGUGAUGGAAAUCCUCCUAGUCAAGUCUAGGGUUUUAUAAAUUUAUGAUAUGGUUAUGGAUGGUAUGAACAUCAUCCAAAACCACAAAACAAUGCAUGAAAACCAAAUAAAACCAUUUUCACCAAAAACCAAACCAUGAACA
rnacentral:lncRNA from 1 species